rnacentral:lncRNA from 1 species
UUUCACAUAUGCUAAGAACUAAUGUUCCUGUAGGUUUUUCAUCACGAAUGACAUUUGCAAUCUACUUUUCGAUUUCAAACCUUAAUUAUUCAUUGUCCAUUAAGAAAUGACUAUAUUGCCCGGAAACUCUACUCAUAGUUUAUAAAUCUGCAAUUUUCAAAGCUUAAGCAUCUUAAGCAUCUUAAUUGGAUUCCCUACAAUUUGGUGGAGGUUGAAUGGAUUUUUCCUCCCAUUAUACCCUCGGAAAAUAUAAAUAAUCAUUGGAGACUGAGCAACACACACUCAUAAACAUAAUGCAUACAGAAGAAUAAAAUUGACAGAAAACAGAUCAAUGCACAGAGAGAUAGAGGCAUAAAGAGAGAACUUACAUCAGCUGUGCUCUCAAAUACAUAUGGUAAUCUGCAUACGAAGAAACAUAAUACUGAAACAGUUAUAAAUCAUCCUAUUCAAAUAAAUCAAACGAAAUGCAUAAAGAUUACCUUAGUUUCUGAUUCUAUGAUUAUGUAUUUGACUCCACCUCCACGUUGUUCUUUGGUUGUCUCUUUUACUGAAUUAAGUAAUCGACUGAAUUACUUAAUUCAACUGAAUUUAAUUAGAGAGAUGAAAGCUUCGGUAUAAAAUAAUAUUUUAUGCUCUACACGCAUAGCAAAUCAUCAGUAACCUCCAAGAACCUAAUUGUACGAUAAACACUCUAGCAUUAACUACCCAAGAAUUAUAAUCAUGCUUAUUGCCAAAAAUGAUAAACAUGUUUACCUUGACUUCAUUUUUAAUGGCAUAUGUAAUAUACUUUCCAUCUGCAUUAAAAUAACCUACUUCGUUCUCCUCGUUAAUCAAGUUGAAAGGUUCUGUUUAAAUCCCAUCCACAACAAAGUCCUUGUAAUCCUGCCAAAAGAUACCACCAAUCAAUGGCUAUCGCUUCCAUUGAUCCAAUUAGAAGAAGUAUCCAACAAUCUCCUCGACUGAAAAAAUUCUUGCCAAUUUAGAAAAGAACUAUUCCAAAUUACGGAUGUACUCGAUUAAUUUAACCAAGAAUAUGCACGGCACCACCACUAUUAAGAAGCAUCAACAUACAAAGACAAAAGUUUCUACAAUCAGUUGUUAAAUUGCAAUCAAAAACAUGCAUAGAAAGAAUAAAAAUGAGAACAAAGAUGGCAAAACAAUUAACCACACAUGUUGUUUAUCCAAAAAUGCUGAGAGCUUAUGCUUCUGUGACACAACGAGCUUCCUGCAUCACAUAUACUAGAUCAAGUAGGCGUCAUGACAUAAAUUGAAAAGCAGACAAGAUCAAGAAGAUCCAAAAUUAUUGAUAUAUAAUUAUAGUAAAUAAUUGCACAUCAAAAACUCUAGAGGAAGAUAGAUGAAUCUCCAUAUCAAGAAACCAAAGAACAUGACACUACUAAGGACCGUUGCUUCACAUGCAUAUCUGCUACUAUUUUAAAACAAUUAUGUUAGAACAAGUAUAAGAGAGAGGACAAAGUACUACUGAACCGAAAAUGAAAAGGGGGAAAACCUGGAAUGCCAUGCAGUGCCGAAAUCACUACUUAGCAACAAAAGUGCCCUGCUAUGCUUCAUGACGUCACUUUCAAAACUAUUAUCCAAAGAUAAUGACACAUACAAAGACUUCUCAUCCCCAGAUACAUCUGAUCUGCUGUUAAGUGCCUUAUAUUGUCUACUUGCUGCCAUAAACGCAUGCUUAGCAGCCUCAUACAACCGAAAAAGAACUUGCGUUGAAAUCCCCAACUUAUGAUCCCUAUUCCAAAAAACUGAGUUGCCAGCAGCUGAGCGCAGCACCGUUGUCAUCAGAUGAGGGUGAGGAAUGGCCUGCCUCUUUAUUCAGCUUGGAAAACUGGGACGGGUGAAGAAAUCCCACUUCAUCUUUGGGUUCAAUCAAGAGGAAAGAACAAUAUAUAAGACGACGGCAUUACUACAUAUUCCAAAAAUAUAACUGAGAACCCUUCCAAAAUUAAAAAAAAAAAGAGAGCACCUCUACACAAAAUCAUAAUGCACCCACAAUUACACACACACACCAAAUUCAAAAACUUAGCAUAAGAAUAAGGCAUACUUGGACCGUUAUCGAAAUCCCAGCCUCAGUAACAGUAAUGAACUAACACUGAAUCCACGUUUUGAAUUUGAACUAACACUGAAUGGACAUUUUCCAAAAAAAUAUGAAUCCAAGUAAAAUCAAGCUGUUACUUUUACAUAUGCAUGGAUCAACUCAUGCGGGAUCAAAUAUCUGUACUUUUCGACACGGAAAUUACACUUUGUGAAGGUUCACCAACCAAGCACGAAUAAAACCUAUAUAUACAAAACUCUAGUGGCAUUUCACCGAACACAAAGUCUGCGUCUUUACUGAAAACAGAGAAGCUAAACCUGCAAUCACUGAUUAUCUACUAACAUACAAGUACGAAUUACUUACAUUUGGGGAUCGGAUUCCAAGAUACGUUCGAAUUGAUUCAGAAGAUCGACCGUGUUUGCUUCGGAACGACGCAGCUCCUCUCCUUCCAUAUUUUCUGUUUGUUUCCCGAGAAAAUCCAAGGGAAAAAGAAAACCCUAGGGAAAAUGACAGCUUUAUACGAUGUUGGAACAAAAUGGUAAAUUAAUUUAAAAAAGAACUACGUGGAAGUUUUUUAUUCUUUGUUGCAAUAAGUUGCAGGAAAAAGUAAUGAUGCUGGCCGUAGAUGAUCCAGUUUUGGGCCAAUGUCACACUGACACGUAUCCACCUUCUUCGACUCUUCUUCUCUUGUGUAAAAUUUUGGAGCUGCUAUGGCUAUUCUCUCUCUACAAAUCUCUCUCUCUCUCUCUUCUGAGCAUCAAUCGCCGAAGGAUUUUCUCUCAUUUUCCCUCACUUUCUCUCCCGUUUUCUCUCUCGCCAAACACUCCAGUUCCUCAAGGAUCUGAGGUUUCUUCCACUUCAAAUCUCACCUUUUUUUUUUCUCUUCGAAUCGGGCAAAAAGGCAUUGAUUUGAAACGAAUAUUAUAAUAGAAAGGAAAGAGCUUUGGGGGGAUUCGAAUUUCCGAAUCUAGGGUUCCGUGAUCUGUAUAUGCGUCCGAUGACUAUGGGAAUCGUGGUGGAAGCGGCGUCGUUUGACGCCGAGCUGUUGCAGCUCAAUGAGGUGUCCCCUUUGGCCCUCAAAUCGAAUCCGAGCUCAAUGAGGCAUUGAUUUGUAAUUAGUUGUUGGAAAUGCUAAAGUUUAUAUAUAUAUAUUUUUUAAUUAGGAUACCUAUGAUUUACAUACUACAUAUUGUUUCAUCUUUUCGGAUGCAUGACAGUUUUUUUCAUUUUCCCGACUUUAUGGUUGCAGGUGACACAACUGCUAACUGAAGCAAAGGCAGGUAGGCCCCUGAAUGUUCAGGGAAAUUCUUCUAGUCCACAUGCCACUGCAGGCAGUACUUUGCCUUCUAUGUUUCCAGCAGGCAGUGCACCACCACUGUCACCAAGAAGUUCAUCUGGAUCCCCUCGCAUUAUGAAACAGAGGAUCGGUCCUUCUCAUUUAGGUUCUCCCCUGAAAGUAGUUAGCGAAUCAGUUAAAGAAGUGAUACCUAUUAAACUAAACAUGGUAAAUACCAAUAUUAAACUAAACAUGGUAAAUACAAAAAAUAUAUAUGAUAAUAUUUGGGAAUUUCUUAUAUAUUCAUUAAUCUUCAAAGUGGAGUAUAUAUAGGAGUUACAAUUGGUAUUACAUAUGUACUUCACCAAUGUGGGAACAAUAAACUGCUAUUUACACUUUAACUAAUGUAUAACUCGCAACACUCCCCCUCAAGUUGGUGCAAAGAUGUCACGCAUGCCCAACUUGUCAAGCGAGUCGGAAACGCACUAUUAGACACAGCCUUAGUAAGAGCAUCAGCAAGUUGAUCUUCAGAUCUCACAAACGGAAACAUAAUAAUUCCAGCAUCCAAUUUUUCCUUAAUGAAAUGUCGAUCAAUCUCCACAUGUUUUGUUCGAUCAUGUUGCACUGGAUUAUGAGCAAUCUCAAUAGCAGCCUUGUUAUCAUAAUGAAGUUUCAUAGCACCUUUGUGUUUAAACUCAAGAUCUCUCAACAAUUUUUCCAACCACAACAACUCACAUACACCAUGAGACAUACCACGAAACUCAGCUUCUGCACUUGACUUAGCCACCACUUUUUGUUUCUUGCUUAUCCAAGUAACUAAAUUACCACCCACAAACAUAAAGUAUCCAGAUGUAGAUCGCCGAUCAGUGAUAGAAUCUGCCCAAUUUGCAUCUAUAUACCCUUCGACAUUCAAAUGAUCAUUCUUGGAGAAAACCAGGCAUCUGCCAGGAGCCAUCUUCAAGUACCUCAAAAUACGGGUUACUGCAUCCAUAUGAGCUUCACUAGGUGAGUGCAUAAACUGACUUACCACACUAACUGCAUAAGCAAUGUCAGGGCGAGUGUGAGACAAAUAAAUUAAUCUCACCACAAGCCUUUGAUACCGUUCCUUAUGAGUAGGAACUUGAUCUGGAAAUAAGCCCAGACGAUGAUUCUGCUCAAUCGGAGUAUCAACAGGUUUGCAAUCUAACAUACAUGUUUCAGCUAACAAAUCAAGAACAUACUUCCUUCCAAGAAAAUACUUCAAUUCACCCAAUUCUUUCAUCUCAAACUCAGUAGCUAGGUACUUUUGAAGGUGCUGUAUCUCUUUCUGAUCAUCACCAGUCACUAUCAUGUCAUCAACAUAAAUAAUCAAUGCAGUUAGCUUACCAUUUUGUCGCUUUAGAAACAAAGUAUGAUCUGAAUGACUUUGGAUAUACCCAAACUUCUUCAUUAAACUUGUAAACCUCCCAAACCAUGCUCUAGGAGAUUGUUUCAAACCAUACAAGGCUUUUCGUAACCUGCAUACAACACCUUUUUCAGGAGACGUUCCAAUACCAGGUGGGAGAUCCAUAUACACUUACUCCUUAAGAUCACCUUGAAGGAAAGCAUUCUUAACAUCAAACUGCAACAGAGGCCAAUCCUGGUUUGCUACUAAGGACAGAAGAACACGCACAAUAUUAAGUUUGGCAACAGGAGCAAAGGUCUCCUGAUAGUCCACCCCAUAGGUUUGAGUAUAAUCCUUAGCAACUAAUCUGGCUUUAUACCGAUCAAUAGAAACAUCUACUUUGUGCUUAAUAGUAAACACCCAUCUACAUCCAAUGACUUUCUUCCCAUUUGGUAAUGGAACCAAAUCCUAAGUAGAAUUCUUUUUCAAAGCUUCCAUCUCAACUUUCAUGGCAUUAACCCACUUAGGGUCAGACAAAGCAUCUUGCAAUUUUGUUGGAAUUGAUACACUAGAUAGCUGACAUAUGUAAGAUGCAUAUGGUUGGGACAAACGAUGAGUAGACACAUAAUUGUUGAUAGGAUAUUUGGCUUUAACAUGCAUAUCAGGCUCAUAUUGUACUUUAGGUUUUCCACGAUUAGCUCGUGGAGGCAACUGAUAAGUAGAAGAAUCGUCAGAAUUUACCUCAUGUAUGCCACCAUCUUAUACCAAACUGUUAGAAGAAUCAUCACUGGACGAACCAUCAUCAGACAACUCGUUAGACAUAUCAGCAGCAGGCAACCGAUCAUCAGAAGGUAAUUCAUCAGACAUACUAACAGGCAAUUUGCUGGGCACAUCUGAUUUGUCGUUAGUAGAAAUAGUUCCGGGAAUGACAGGUGACCGAUCACUAUCUAUAACCGACUGAUUAGUAUCACGCAACAUAAUAGGUUAUGUUCCCAACUCUGUCUGUAACACAUCAUCCAUAUCAUCUCUUCGAAUCUGCACUUCACUCCUCCUCUCCCCCUGAAGUGGAAAGUCGGAAGAGGGCUUUACAAAAUACGAAACUUCCUCUUGGAAGGUGACAUCCAUGGUAAUAUAAGUUUUUUGAGUCGGAGGAUGAUAACACUUAUAGCCUUUUUGAUUGUUAGCAUACCCAAUAAAGACACACCGGAGAGCACAUGCAUCAAGUUUACUCCGCUGAUGAGAGUAGACAUGCACAUACACAAUACACCAAAACACUUUCGGAGGAAGCUUUGAGACAGAAACAAGAGAAACAUGUUUUUGUAGCACAUCAAACGGUGUCUGAAAAUCAAGAACCCUACUUGGAACACGAUUGAUCAAAUACACAGCAGCCAAAACAACAUGACCCCACAAAUGAUUAGGAACACAUUUAUCCAACAUCAAGGAGCGAGCAACCUCCAUUAUUUGACGAUUCUUCCGUUCGGACACACCAUUUUGUUGGGGUGUAAACGGAGUAGUUGUCUGGUGAAUCAUACCAUGAUCACGGAAAAAACAUGCCAAAAUGUGAUUCACAUAUUCUCCUCCGUUAUCAGACCUAAAGACCUUAACUUUGGUCUGAAACUGAGUAGACACCAUUGUACAAAAUUCUUGAAGAAGUAACGGAACAUCACUCUUAUUUUUCAUCAAGAACACCCAAGUUACCCGAGUACAAUCAUCAAUAAAAGUAACAAACCAACAGAAUCCAUUAGAAGUAACUUUCGCAGGACCCCACACAUCAGAAUAUAUCAAAUCAAAUGACAAAGUAGCUGUAGAAUCACUUACAUGAAAUGAAGCACAAUGACUCUUAGCCAUGACACAUGUUUCACACUUGAACUCUGAAUCACUACAAGUGCGAAACAAAGAAGGAAAUAGAUGCUUCAUAUAACUGAAUGAUGGAUGUCCUAAUCGUCGAUGCCAUAACCAAAUUUGAUGUCUGUCAUCCACUUUAGCUCUUAAACUUGAUGAUUAUUUGAACCGGAAACAACAGUAUCCUCCAUAGUCAAGAUGUACAAACCCCCUAUCCUUUUACCAUAACUAAUUAUCUUCUAAGUUUGAAUAUCUUGAAAAUAACAAUACGUAGGGUAGAAGUGAGCAGAACAAUAUAAAGUAUCAAGAAGUUUUCCUACCGACAAAAGAUUGUACUUAACAUCAGGAACAAGUAAAGCACGAACCAGUGAUAAGGUUGGAGUCAGAGAGAUAGUGUCUUCACCCUUCACAGGGGAAAGUGCUCCAUUUGCACUAGUAAUAUACGGAUCACGAACAUAGUCACAUAACUCAUCAAACACUCUAGGGUCACUAGUCACAUGAUCAGUGGCCUCAGUAUCAAUUAUCCAUUUAUUUGUUCCACCAAGAUGCAUAACAACACUAUGAUUAUAUUGAGCCAUUGAACAAAAUCACGAACAAUAAAAGCACAAAAGAUACGCAACGGAAUGAAAACAAUUUAUCAGAAUACUGUAGCAAUCACUGUUCACGGCACUGUAGCAAAGACUAUUCACGGCAAUGUAGCAAUCACUGUUCACGGCACUGUAGAAGACCACAGUUCACGCACUAUAGCAAAGCACUGUACUGUAGCCCGACACUUUUUUUUUUUUUUUCCCACACGGAGGAAAUCACGAAAAAUGUGGGCACAAAAUUAAAGCACACAGGUCACCAAGAGCGAACUGCUCUGAUGCCAUAUUAAACUAAACAUGGUAAAUACCAAAAAUAUAUAUGAUAAUAUUUGGGAAUUUCUUAUAUAUCCAUUAAUCUCCAAAGUGGAGUAUAUAUAGGAGUUACAAUUGGUAUUACAUACGUACUUCACCAAUGUGGGACAAUAAACUAUUAUUUACACUUUAACUAAUGUAUAACUCGCAACAAUACCUCAGGUUUGACAAAUCCUAAUCCUUUUCGGCAAUAAGAGUGGCACUAUUUUUUAUUUCUUUUGUUUUGCGUUGUAUUUGUCAUUUGAACUAUCUAGCUGUAAUGGUUUUCUUUAAUUAGAGGGAAAGGUAGGUUAUUAUUUCUAACUUGGAUUUUGUACCACUUGCAGUUUUACUUUCUAAAUGGUCGCCCGCCUCCAAAUGAACUAAAAGAUCAAUGCUUAUUAGAAUCAAUCAGUUUUUCUCUGGUAACUCAGACGGACUGCAGAUUCAUGGUGAGAUAUACUUAAGAUAUGAGUUUGUGUUGUACAACUAGAAUUAGCUUUUAACUGUCUCCUUGGUCGUACCCAGUGCACAAGGCUCCCGCUUUACGCAGGGUCUGGGAGAGGUGAAUGUCGGCUAGCCUUACCCCCAUUUAUGGAGAGGCUGCUCCCAAGUCUCGAACCCGAGACCUACCGCUCAUGGGCGAAGGCACUUGCCAUCGCACCAAGUGCGACCUCUAACUGUCUCCUUGGUGUAUCAGAAUUUAAAUCAGUUGCUAAGGAUAUAUGCAAGCGGCCCUCAUUCUUCUCCAUAUCUCUUUUCAGAAAAAUUGAUGCUAAGAGCAGUUCCAGCGUUGGCUGGUGCUCGGGGGAAAGGCUAGUGAACAGGGCCAGAUAGCCCGACUGAAGUGCUCCAGCGUGUGGGAACUCGAGGGACAGGGCAAGACUGAGCAACAAGCCCGUGAGGAAUUGCUAGCCCGCGAGCCCGAGUGGAUGUGACGCCAGGGCUGACGUCAUCCUGGCGUCAGCCCAAUUAUAUAUAUAUUUUUGUCAGGCGCGUGCCCCUCACCUGCACGUGGGGGCGCGUCAGCCAACACCUUUUCAGGAGCCGGGCCCACGUCACAAUUUGCCAAUGUUACUGUUGGAAAGACACGUGGCUUCCCACGGUCCGUUUGAUCUCAAUGGUCUAUUGGUAAUAUUCACUUUUUGUCAUUGCUUGUGAAAGGGUGUAGUUUCAAAGUUGUUAUCCCCACCCCCUUUCAAUAUCUUUCCUAGCUGUGGUUUAUCUUAUGUAACCACAACUAUUUUCCUUUACUUUUAAAAUGUCUCGAUUCUUGUUCACCAACCCUAUUACCCCACUUUAAGGUGCAUGAAUCUUUCUCUCUGAAGUGGAUAAACAAUGCCCUUUAUAAGGGUUGAUUGCGGAGAAGGGGUCAAGUAGCUUUCCUGGAGGCGCUUUUUUUUUCUGAGCUGACUUGUAGUGAACUCUUGGUUUAACUAAUAUUGUUACCUCACCUUACUAUAAAUUCUGGGUGGCCCCUGCUCUAGUCAUCCGGACAAGAAAACGGUACAGCUUGAGGAGAAGCUUGAGAUAGAUAUCAUCGGACUUGGGGCGCUUCGUCUUCUUGCUUUUACCUCCUGCCACGAGAACAAUCUUCAUUGUUGUUGCUGGUGUUGAAGUUCGGUUGCUCGGGACGCCUUUCGUUGGGCCUUUAUUUGGCCAAUUCAUUGAUCAAAUAUGGGAUCCUGUACUGCCAUAUGGUUGAGCCAACGAUGAAAACAGUAGGAGAAAAAGAGUGAACCCUCCCCCCCCCCAAAAAAAAAAAGUCUUGUACCCAUGAGAAAGGCUUGUAAUGGUACCAUCAUUGUUGGCAACAAUUUUUGCUGGUGGUGGUUACGACAAGGAAGUUGGGAACAAUGAUGUGGCUGAGGGCUUUGCAGAUCUUAUUGCUUAUGGUCCUUGGAUCUUGGCUAACCCAAACUUUUUUACUUUAUGUUUAUUCAGCUUUAAUUCUGAGGGUAUUUAAGUCUAUUUAAGUGGAUUUUCUGUUAUUUUUGAAAGAUUUUAUAAAAAAUGACAUUUAUGAAAUUGAGUGUUAAAUUUUGGCUAUUAUUGAUAAAAACUCAAUAAAAAUUAUCCCGUAAGUAUACAAGAUUAAGUUUAAGACGUCUUAAUAAUCAGAAGAUGCCUUUAUACAUUAUCCUUUCAUCAAUCAUGUUACAUGACAAAAAAAUGAGGUGUUGACUUAUAAGAACUAGCUAAAGGUAGCAUAUUCCUUUCUUUCUUUGUGGUUUCAACCUAUCCUUGCCCUCCUUACUAAAUCAUGUAACACAAAUGCUAUUCACACAUCCCAUUUUAUUUCUCACACAAAUCUUGAUAAUUUAUGUCUGUUGAUCUUCUUCAAUUCAUUUAAUCUGAUGGUCGAAAAUUAAAAGAGUAUGUAGGAAGUAAAAUGGAAUGUGUGGAUAUCACACCCCUAAAUUAAUUGCGACAAAAUAGAUUUUCAAAUACUUUUAUACAUUUGAGUUUGAGCUCUAUUUUUAUCAAUUACUUUAAUAAGUUGGCGACUACAUGAUGGGAGGAGGCAUGCGUUGAUGCUUAUAGUUGGCGACUACAUGAGAAGAAGAGGGAUUCUCUGAACAUAUUAAAAACCUUAAAUGCAUUAAUAAGUUAAAUUAAACCACCACAGAAACAAGAAAGUUCAAAAAGAGAGAGCAUAUUAUAAACAGAUCAAGGCAUGCAAAAAAAUACACUCUAUCUGCAAACUAGCUGAUUAAACCAGAAAGUUUCCUAGCUUACAUAGUCGUCGUCGUCUUGGGCCUCCUCAUCAUCACCCUCUUCAUUAUCAUCCGCAACUUCUUGGUCCUGAUCAUCGUCUUAUUCCGCCUCGUCCUCAUCAACACCCUCAUCAUUAGCAUCAGCACAUUGUUGGUCCUCAUCAUCGUCUUGUUCCUCUUCCUCCUCAAAAUCCUCCUCAUCAUCCCCAUCAAAAUCCUCAUCGUGUUGUCAUCAUCCUCAUCAAAAUCAUCAUCUUCAUAAUCCUCGUCAAAAUCAUCGACUUCGGUAGAAAUUUCUUGUAAGGCCCGUUCGUAAGGGAUAUAAUGGUAAUCAAAAAACGAACCUUUGAAAGUCAUAAGUUUGUCGCAUACUAAACGUACCCCUAUUUUCUUCACCGGACAAUGUGCAAUAACAUGGACCAAAUCGCUUUCUUCCAAAUUGAACUCGAUUUCCGACAACGAUAAAUUUGCCAGCCAAAUGAUCUCUUCAAAGAAAAAAAAUCUCCUAGUUCAACACAAAAACUAGUACCCUUGGUGUGAUUAAUAACAUAAAUAUAACUCGGCCUGAUGUAAUCACGAGGAACAAAAGCCAGGCACACAGCCAAUGCUUUUGCAUUAGAACCAAUUUCCUUAGGCACUUCAAAAGAGACUUGGGUACCCUCGUUUACAUGAUUGAACCAAGUGGGAAUUUGUCUUCCUACAAAACUCAUGGUUCCACCUCCUGUCCAUCCCUAUACCAUGUGGAACAAGAUUUGUGUGAGUACUACAUACAUAACACACAUAUUUGUGAGGGGGGAAGAGAGGGGGGUGGUGUGGAAGAGAGAGAGUACCUGUAUCGUGCUAUCCUUAAGAAGGAAAUCCAUGACAUUGUUGUGUGUUGUCAUAUAAAGAUUGAGUCCCGAGUUUAACGCGCUAUCCAAGCCUGGAAACUCAAUGAGUUUCGGGGAAAAAAGAAUCACUGCUGUCGACAUGCCUGAAAAAUCUGGCAUUCUUUCUAAUACAGAGCAGUCGUCCAUGUGCAGGAAACCCAAACUUUUUGGUAAAUCUGUAAUCUCAACAAGGUUUCUGCAACCAUUCAAGGAUAAUACAAGAAGCUUGGAGAGGCCACUGAGGCUUGGAAGGCUCCCAAAAUUAUUGUCAUCUAGACUUAACUCCACUAAACAAGGUAGACUACUCCCAAUAUCAUUAGGCACUUCCUCUAUAUUGCUGUCCUCCAAAAUUAAGCUUGUCAAAGAGCGUAAACCUUGUAAGGAAGGUAGCUGCAAAGAACACUUCAAUUUACUCAAAGAUAUGCGCUCGAGCUUCUCUAGUCGUACGAUGGAAGGUGGUACUUUUUUUAUGGCCGUCCCAUCUGCAUAAAGAGUGACCAAUGAUGCCAUUUCUCCCAAGUGCUCAGACAAGCUUUGGAAUCUUGAACAACCAUCGAGAACAAGAGUUUUGACAGAUUUCAACUUGUAGAAACUCCUCGGAAGAGCCUUAAGCGUUUCACAGUCCUUCAAAUUCACCAACACAAGACUCUUGAGAUCUCCGAUGGACUUGUGAACUUUAGCCAACCUCUUACAGUCUUUGAGUAUCAAUUUCUCAAGAUUUGGGAAUUUCGAAAAGUUUGGCGAUUGUGUUAGAUCGUGGGAGUGGCUGAGAUUCAGAAUCUUCAACUUAUCAAGCAACUGUUAAGAAAAAUCAAGUUGAAAUAAAAAAUUUAAAUCCAAAAAGAAGAUACAAAAAACAUAAAAAUAAUUCCAAAUUUGGUUCAGGUUACGCAUUGUACUUACCCCAGAAUACCCACAAAGAACUUGUCUGAGGCUGCUGUACUGCAUGUCGAUAACAACUGUGUUUGGUUGACAAAGUUCUAUUGGUAUGAACUCCAAUGGGAAUCCAUGCCAGCACAACCAUCUUAAUUUUUUGGAAAGAUAUUGGUAUUGCCCAGUGAGCCGAACGUAGUUUAGUUGGAGCAAUCUCAGUCUCUUCAUAUUUCUAAACGCCUCAGUACUGAAACUAGUCUCUUCAGGACUUGGCAAAUUCAAAGCCAGACCUUCAAUUUUUUCAGUUCCCUGCUAUCCGAAAAAACAGACUCCAAAUAAGAGAAGGCUUUGCAUGAAAAAAAGUAUAUUACUAACUUACAUAUGCUUACACAUUUAACAUAAAGUUUGAUUGGGAAAGUACUUACAAAUUUGUCUAUCAAUACAUCAUUUACAUCUUCAGGAUGCCACAAUCUACUCCGUUCUAUAGGGAAAUCAGGAUUUUCUGCAUGCACGAUAUCUCUGCCCAUAUCCCGAAGCAAAUCAUGCAUCAUAAUCUUGUUUUCUCUAUUAAUAGUUACAAGGCACCGGUCAAGGAGGACCUUGAUUCCUGUUGUUGCAUAAAAGCCACAACCAUCCAAGAUUUGUAUGACAUCGUUCUUGUUCAUUCCGAUAAAAAAACAAGCUAUAUCGAGGAAUAUCCGCCUUUUGUAAUUAUCAUUUAGCCUGUUGUAGCUUAUUUUCAGUUGUGCCUGAAUUUCUGCACGAGGAAUUAUUUUCAAUUCAUCCAAUAUACUUCUCCAUUCAUCUACGCUUCGUUUGAAAAGAGUAGAUCCUAAAACUUCAAGAGCCAGCGGCAAUCCUCCACAGUAAUUGACAACUUCUCUUUCGAGCGCAAGAUAUUGACUAGGACAACUACUACUUCUGAAAGCAUGCCAACUUAGGAGCUCAAGAGCUUCUUCUCGGUCCAUUACUUUCGCCUGAUAUAUCUUAUCAACUGCAAAUUCUUUUAGCACACUUUCGUUUCUAGUUGUGAUGAUGAUUCUGCUCCCCGGGCCAAAAAAGUGGCAAUUUCCAACUAAUUCGCGUAAUUGCUUCACAUCGUCUACAUCAUCAACUAUGACAAGUACCUUUAAGCGUCGAAAUCUUUCCCUUACCAAGGCGGUCCCUGCAGCAACACUACUUACCUUUGUCUUGGUUUGCAAGAUAUCAAAAAGAAGUUGUUUUUGCAAUUUUUCUAGUUUCUUUUCCCUCACUUUUUCAAGGAAACUUUUACCUUCAAACCUUUCAUAAAAUUCGUUAUAAAUGGCUUUAGCAAUUGUUGUUUUACCUAUUCCACCCAUGCCUGAAAUUCCAAUCACACGAACAUCAUCUGAAUCUCCGAUGCCUAAAUAAUUACUGAUAUCUAGCACUCGAGUAUCUAUUCCGACUUGAUAGAGCGCUACGUCAAAGUAUUUGUUGUUCAACUUCGUAGUGACGUCAUUGGUAAUCAUCCUGAUAAACUUUGCUUCAUGCCUGGCAUUAGUCAAGUUGAGAAGCAAAACGAAGAUUGUUAUACAACGAAAUCGAACUAAUUAAUACACAAAAUUAUUUAUCAUGACUAGAGAUUUUAAUUAAGACAAUUUUUUUUGAGGUGGUGUGUUUAAACUUAGCAAACAUCAAUUAAAAUUAAAAUAAAGAAACACAAACAAAAAAACCAGCAUCCCUUCCCUCCGCAGCCAAUCGCCGGCAGCUUCCCAGCUGUGAUUAGUGUAGCCUUAACAGUUUAAGCUUUAUUGUAUGAUUUUAUUACAGAGGUCUAAGAAAUCGUAUGAUUCCAAAUUAAUAAGCAAAGGUACGUUAAAGCCUUAAUUCAUAAGAAAAGAAAUUAGAAAGUACCCGUCUAAAGUGUUUCUGAGAUCCCAGCCAGACAAAUUCGAAGCUUCAGUAAGAGCAGCUCUCCACCUCUCUACCUUUUUUCAUCUGUAUGUUUCAGAAACGAUUGUGCAAAACUACAAGUCUGUUUCCUAACAUGCGAAGGAUCAACGUCAUAGAAUAUUGGCAAAACUAAUUGCCCUAGCGUUCUUCUACACUCCAUGAUCUUAACCAGCUCCUCGAGACACCAGCUGGAGUCCGAGUACCGUCUUGAGAAGACGAUGAUAGAGAUCCUAGAACCCUGGAUUGCAUGCACAAGUUCGGUAGUUAUAUCUUCUCCUCUUCUUAGUUCGUCGUCAAUAAAGGUGUUGAUUCCGGCCUUUGUCAAUGCUUCGUGGAGGUGGCCCACGAAGUUUUUACGUGUGUCUUCACCUCUGAAGCUUAUGAACACUUCGUAGAGCAAGCCUUUUGAGAAGGAAGACAUGGAUGGGGAGGUGGAGGCGGAUGAUGAGGAUGAGAUUGAGGGUGAGGAGGUGGAGGAGGACGAUGAGGAGGAGGUGGAGGAGGACGAUGAGGAUGAGGGCGAGGAGGAGGAUGAGGACGAGGUUUUAUCGGGGACGGAGAUAUUCAUUUAGCGAAAGACGAGGCCUAGGGAGUAGAGGAGGAAGAUGAGGACAUCAUAGACAAGAUCGGAAUUGCGAGCCGUAAAGUGGUUGGACACUAACACCAGCACCAAAGUUAACAGCUUCCCUAAGCUCGACCAGGUAUCCAUUUCCUUCAUUUUCUUUAUGCAAAUUGAAGGUUUUUGGCUAUAUUGAUUUUCUUUCUUCUGCAGGACUUCAUUGCAAGAGUUAAUUUGAAAGUACCCUAUUGCAAAAGGGAUCUGACUUCUCUGCCUUCCCACUUCCCAUACAUUCUGAUCCCCUCUUAUUUGUGCGGUCACGGUUAAGCCACGUCAACAUUUUAUAUUACUAUUGACUUUUGUCUUAUUAUCUUUAUAAAAAAAUUAAUAUAAAAUAUUAACGUGGCUUAACCGUGACCGCACAAAAUAAGAGGGGAUAGGAGUGUAUGGGAAGUGGGAGGAGAAAAGUCAGGUUCAUUACGGAAUCUCGGAUUAUGACGACCUCUACCAGUCUUCGUAUUCAAUUUUUUAUGACGACCUCUACCAGUCUUCCUAGUCAAUUUUUUAAUUCAACUUACAAGUUUGGUAGAGAGUGCCAAAUGCAUAUUUGCAGGGUUCUCACUUUCAGUAUGGCUAAAUAUCAAGGAAAAAUAUAUAUUUAUAGACAAUCUAUACUAUAUAUUAAGAAAACCCUCCUUGUCAAAAUUUUCCCCAUUUUUCCAAUUUUGCCCUCACUUUUGAUACACAACCUUGACAAAAAGGAGGGCAAAAUAGUAAUUUUGCAUCUUUUGAGAAAAUGACAAUCAUAUCCCUAUUUUCCCUAUUUUACCCUCACUUUUGAUACACAAUAUUUACAUAAAGAGGGCAAAAUGGUAAUUAUGUAAUAUUAAGAAAAAUAUGCCCUUAUUAGGAGAUCUCAUCAUCAUUGUCUCAUACUCUUUUUAAAAAAUUUAAAAACUAAUCACACUCCUUAAUCUAAAAUAAAAAAGAAAAUGAAAUUGUUCACACACAAAGUGUGUGCUCAUCUUCUAGUUUGGUAUAAAAUAAUCGAAGUUGUUAUGGAAAAUGGCAUCAAGGAUGUUAGAGCAUCCCCAAUGGGGGCUUUAUCCUCCAUGAGGCUACCACAUUUUUAGCCUUAGCGAGAAAUUUCAUCCUCAAUGAGCCAGAAAAUGGGGCUAGAUCCACCACUAGGGCUAGUAACUUCAUUUCUUGGGUAGCAUAAAAUCAGGCUACAUCUAGCCCCAAAAAACAGUGGGUCCCACAAAAAAAGUAGCAACCUAUGUGAGCAAAAUUCUAUCAUUCUCCCUCCACUUGCGAAUACACUCAUACUCUCAUUUUAUUAUUUUUUAAUUCUUUUUUCUUACUUACUUUGCUUGCAAUUUGACUAAUUAAUGAUUGUUUUAAAUUCUAUAAGAAUUAAAAUUUCAAAUUGAUUUAACGUUCAUGAGCAUUGAUGGGUGAAAUUUUCAAAUAUUUUUUUUCAAAAUUAUAUGAUACUAAUUUACCAAUUGGUGUUAGGUAAAAUUAUUGUAUUAUACGUGAAAAUCAAAUUAUUUCAGAAAACGAAGUGAGGGUUUAUUUCUUAUAAUAAAUGAGAUUGAGAUAAGGGAAUCUAAUCUAACAAACAAUUCAUAAGUGAUAAAAUCUAACUUUGUCACAAUUUGAACUUUGUAGGUGGAAGGGUUAAAUUUAAGAUAGCACGUCCAAAAAUCAACUUAAGAAAAGCUAACACAAAAAAAAAAAAAUUCAUUGCUUAAUCAAAUUACUACAUAAAUAAAUAUAUAUAGCCCAUAUAGAGCCCGAAAGAUAUAGCCCCUCAUUGUGAGAGAUUCUUUUAUACAACCCCAAAAAUUUCUUGGAACUAUAAAAUGGGUUGUAUCCAUCACUUUUCCAGCCCCAUAUAAAAUAUUAAAACCCCUCACUGGGGAUGCUCUUAGGAUUGGUAGUUUAAUAGUGGCCUUGUCUUUCAUCAUCGUUACCAUCCGUAGUAGUUGAAGAAUGACUCUGAUAUAUGUCCAACCACUUUGGAUUUAUAUGUCCAACCACUUUGGAUUUACUUGUGCUCUUACUUUAGAAUGUUGAAAAUUCAAACUGCAUCAAAACAACAGAUCAAUUGAUUUUAAAUGUUUAUUUUUUCACAAUUGAUGUUACUUAUUUUUAAGCUAAAUUAAGAGAAUAUAAGUAUUUUAAUUUAUAAUGAACUUAAGUCAAACAAAAACUAUCUAUUCACAAGGACAAUCCACCGCCUUACAUAUCAAACCUUGUACCAAACUCCUUCUAGACCACUCUUCCAUAUGCCCCCGGACCCACAGAAGUGUUUUAGGCUGAACUAGAAAAUGUGCCCGCGCUUCGCUGCGGGGGUUGAAUGCAUCUGUUGUGAGCUUGAAUAAUUUCCACAGAAAGUGGGCAAAAUGGUGGUAGGAACAUAAUCACAUUCUCAAAUGUAGCAAUUCAGUUACCAUAUAUUUGAGUUGAGUGAAUCCAACAAAAUCACCAAUCAACAUACGCAUCGUAUCAGUAAUCAAAAAUUGAAAAUUUAUCAAUUAUUUUCAAAUAUUCAAUAAAUUAAACCACACAAAAUUAAAAAAUAUAUGACGCGACCCUACAGCGACAACAAAUUGAUUUCUCCACUGCAGAGAGGUUGAUCACCAGAAGCAGGGUCAAUAAUGGCCAGCCUCUAAUGAGCAAAGAAACAAUCUCCAGGCUGGCAUAGGCCACUCCAAUUCAGGUCAACGGGGAUUCAAUCUAUCAAAUCCAUUCAUGCAGAUUGAUUACCUGAUUGGUAUUGAAAAGGAAACAAAACCCCCCCAAUUUUUUGAAAUUUAGAGUAGGAUGGAUCGCUUACCUUUAGCAAAGCGGAGGAACGUUGGUGGUGCGGAGGGACUGGUGGUCCAGCGCAAUUCGCUAGAUUUGAGAGCGAGAAAAGGCUCUCCACUGCAUUUUCCAUGCAUUCAAUCAUCAAAUUGUAGUUCGUUUCAAUUGAUUUCUGCUGAAAUUUAAAAAAUUAAUAAACAUUUCUAAAAAUAAAAGUAAACUUCAAGCUACAGACAGUUUGACUUGAAUGGCUUCAGCUGGAGCUAAGUAGGCUUACAGUGGGUGAAUCAAAGGGAUAAAGACACUGCAAUUUUCAGCUUCAUACCAAAGGAUAGACAAAGCACGACAGCAUGUUGCUAACUAAUUGUUCAAUCGAACUGAAAGGAAAAGUUGCAGGACAAAUAGCUCACUAAAGAAUCCCAUGUUGAGGACCUUUCCAGGCACGCUUUAUUCAACAGAGCUUUCAGGUUUUCAGUUUUCAGCUUAUCUUGAAAUUCAAUGCGUCGGGAAUCAGGGAUUUGCUGAGGCAGGUAAGAGUAACACAAGCAUCCAGUCAAUUCGAUUUGCUGAGGCAGUUGCAGUUGCAGGUAUGAGUAAAGUCAUGACAAAUUGUGAAUGGAGGAGAAAUACUAUUACCAUAAUCAACCAUAAUAUGUAAGUAGCCGAAUGUUUAGCCUGUGCUUGGUAGUCAUCGAAGCUAUUAUCUGGAAUGAUGGAGCAGGAGUCGAGGAGCUGUAACUCGUUAUUCAUAAAGAUUCUGAAGUCGUCAUUCAUGCUGUUAUUCUGCUUCGCAUGGCUGGACAGACCAGUAUGAUCAGUUAUGAAAUGCUUUAUCCAAAAUAAGAAAGGAAGCGGCGAUGAAGCCAUAGAGCCUGUUUACAGUGAAUACCACAGAAAUUAAAACUCGGGGGGUUCUCAGAUGAUUAGUGAAAUAUACAAAAACACCCCACGUACCUCUCUUCCUAUGUAGUGCUUUAUCAACAUUUCAUCCCAAUCAAGCUCUUCCUGACAUGACCACAUUUGACACAAGUAUCAACUGUAAACGUUCAUGUAACGAAGAUAGUACAAUAUAAAAAGUGCUUGCCCAUAGGAACUCAUGGUCAUAAUUACUGAAAAGAGAUUAAAGAAGAUUUGUACCUUCCACAGCCGAUAUAUCUCAACACUGUAACCAGAAGCUGAAAUCUCUUGUUUAUAGCAUUCGUCCUCUAAAUCUUACGCAUCAGCCGCUGCAAAAUGAUAGAAACAUUGAUUGUGAGGGGAAUUAAAGUCCAGCACAUCGACAACUUUGUCUCUCAGUAUCACAACAAAAGGAAAGCAAGGUCUCACACUGCGAUAAUGGGAGCAACUAUGAUCAGCAACAUGCAAGGAGGCCCAGGUUCGGGAUCUUUCUAAUUCAUGUAGCAACUGCAAGCACAAAUUUAUGGUGCAUAUAACUCAUCAUAAACACGGACGAGAGAGAAAAAUGGAUAUGUAUGGUACAAAUACGAAUCUCGGAAUAUGAAACUGCAUAAAAUCAACAAUUACUCUCAAACUAUCAGUCACAUUUGUUGAGAAUGAAGGCUAAAAAUAAUUCUCUGCUUAUCCUUUUCAAAUGUAUAGGAGUGCAAUUUGGCUCAGAAUUGUUUACAUCACAUAUAAAUAUGAAAUUCCUAGAAGGAAACCUGAAUUAUUCCCCGGAUAAGAAAAAUCGAGAUUAGAUCUAACCUGUUCUCUUGUCAUGUAGGAAACCAACCAGCAACGGUGGUUCCAUGCACGGUAAUUCAUUUUUGACCUCUGUAAAGAAAGAUUUUGAAUUACACAAAAGUGAACAAUGACAAGGAAAAUUCUCACAUAAGAAAAUUGUGGAACAUAUGAAAUGCCCAUACAGAAUAACAGUUGCUAUUGAAACCAUGGACACUGAUCCACAUCACGUUUGGAAAAGAGAGAGUGAAUUACAACUAUUAUCUGUACUAGUUUGAUACAGAUAUUUAGCAGCUCAGUAGGAAACCUUAUUUUGCAGACAAGAUGACUGCCAGAUGCACACAAUUAUAAAAGUGCACAAUGUGUUGGGGUGACGGAAGUCAUUUCUCAAGUCUUUUAUGCGGUGUGUGUGAGUUAUGUUGUUUUUCCCUACGAAAGCAAUAAUGAGACUGAACAAAAACAACAUAUAAGAUAAUUGAAUUAAAGUUUAAAUAAACCUUUGUAAAUUAAAAGCAUGCAGUUCCUGAACUGAAUUUAAACCUCAGCUAUUUUCUCCACCAGCUCAGAGUCUUUGGUCACAAUCUCCGACAGAGUUGAACACUUUCCAGCAAUCGACUUGAUGACCCACUGCCUGCAAUGAUCGAUAUGUUCUUAAAAUUCAAUUAUUAAAGUCAUUACAUGGGAAAACUAUAAUGAGGGACUCGAUUAAACCCUACCCGGCUGAGUACUUAUAAAUAAGAAAGUAUAGAAAUCAUGCCAGUUGUUAAGCAUAUAACGGAAAACUUCUGCUAAAAAUGCUACCUAUGGCUCCAAGCAUACUCAAACUUAGGUGAAUAUGAAAGAACAAGUGCUGACAAGAGAAGUUCAUCCAAAAAUGCUGAGUGCUUAUGCUUCUGCGACACAACAAGCUUCCUGCAUCACAUAUACUAGACCAAGUAGGUGUCAUGACAUAAAUUGAAAAGCAGACAAGAUCAAGAAGAUCCAAAAUUAUUGAUAUAUAAUUAUAGUAAAUAAUUGCACAUCAAAAACUCUAGAGGAAGAUAGAUGAAUCUCCAUGUCAGGAAACCAAAGAACAUGACGCUACAAAGGACCGUUGCUUCACAUGCAUAUCUGCUACUAUUUUAAAACAAUUAUGUUAGAACAAGUGUAAGAGAGAGGAAAAAGCACUACUGAACCGAAAAUGAAAAGGGGGAAAACCUGGAAUGCCAUGCAGUGCCGAAAUCACUACUUAGCAACAAAAGCGCCCUGCUAUGCUUCAUGACGUCACUUUCAAAACUAUUAUCCAAAGAUAAUGACACAUACAAAGACUUCUCAUCCCCAGAUACAUCUGAUCUGCUGUUAAGUGCCUUCUAUUGUCUACUUGCUGCCAUAAACGCAUGCUUAGAAGCUUCAUAUAACGGGAAAAAAAAUUGCGUUGAAAUCCCCAACUUAUGAUCCCCAUUCCAAAAAACUGAGUUGCCAUUAGCUGAGCGCAUCACAGUACUGCCAUCAGAUGAGGGUGAGAAAUGGACUGCCUCUUUAUUCAGCUUGGAAAAUUGGGACGGGUGAAGAAAUACCACUUCAUCUCUGGGUUCAAUCAAGAGGAAAGAACAAUAUAUAAGACGAUGGCAUUACUACAUAUUCCAAAAACGUAACUGAGAACCCUUCCAAAAUUAAAAAAGAGAACACCUCUACACAAAAUCAUAAUGCACCCACACACACACACACACACACACACACACAAUUCAAAAACUUUCAGCAUAAGAAUAAGGCAUACUUGGACCGAAAUCGAAAUUCCAGAUUCGGUAACAGUAAUGAACUAACACUGAAUCAACAUUUUGAAUUUGAACUAACACUGAAUGGACAUUUUCCAAAAAAUAUGAAAUCCCAAGUAAAAUCAAGCUGUUACUUUUACAUAUGCAUGGAUCAACUCAUUUGGGAUCAAAUAUCUGUACUUUUCGACACGGAAAUUACACUUUGUGUACACCAACCAAGCACGAAUAAAACCUAUAUAUACAAAACUCUAUGGGGCAUUUCAUCGAACACAAAGUCUGCAUCUUUACUGAAAACAGAGAAGCUAAACCUGAAAUCACUGAUUAUCUACUAACAUACUACUAACAUACAAGUCAGAAGAUCGACCGUGUCUGCUUCGGAACGACGCAGCUCCUCUCCUUCCAUAUUUUCUGUUUGUUUCCCGAGAAAAUCCAAGGGAAAGGAAAACCCGAGGGAAAAUGACAGCUUUAUACUAUGUUGGAACAAAAUGGUAAAUUAAUUAAAAAAAGAAGUACGUGGAAGUUUUUUAUUAGUUGUUGAAAUAAGUUGCAUGAUGCUGGCCGUAGAUGAUCCAGUUUCGGGCCAAUGUCACACUGACACGUAUACACCAUUCUUCGACUUUUAUUUUCUUGUAUAAAAUUUUGGAGCUGCUAUGGCUAUUCAGAAGAGAAUGCUUUGAAUAAUGAUAUAUUCUUCUCAAUAAGAGGAACUUAUAGGUGUACAACCCUAACAUAAAAGGAAAAAAAACUAAUAACAAGUGAUUACAUGGGAUUACAUAUCAAUUAGGGAUCCUACCUAAAAUACAAAAGUCAACACUCCCCCUCAAGUUGGUGCAUAUAUGUCGCUCAUGCCCAACUUGUGUAAGAAACUUGAAAACUUGUGACUCGAAACAGCUUUUGUGAGGAUAUCUGCCAACUGAUCUUCAGUUCUUAUCGCCGGUACUUCAAUUAUUUUCCCUUCCAAUUUUUCUUUGAUGAAGAAUCGAUCAACUUCAACAUGCUUUGUUCUAACAUGUUGUACUGGAUUAUCUGCAAUGUCACGAGCAGCUUUAUUAUCACAAAAUAAUUUCAUGGGCUGAUCAUGUUGUAUACCCAAAUCACUUAACAGAAGCUUAAGCCACAAAAUUUCACAAAUCCCCAAAGCCAUACCUCUGUAUUCUGCUUCUGCACUGGAACGGGCAACCACAUUCUAUUUCUUACUUCUCCAUGUAACCAAGUUACCCCCAACAAACGUAAAGUAACCUGAUGUUGAGCGUCUAUCAUCAAUAGAACCUGCCAGUCUGCAUCAGUAUAACCUUCAACACUAAAGUGAUUAUUCCUCUUAAACAAAAUUCCUUUGCCCGGACUUCCCUUCAAAUAUCGCAAUAUUCUCAUCACGGCAUUUAUAUGUUGUUCUCCAGGAUCAUGCAUGUAUUGACUCACUACACUCAAGGCAUAAGCAAGGUCCGGUCUUGUGUGUGCCAAAUACAUCAACCGGCCUACUAACCUUUGGUAUCUUCCUUUGUCAACUGGUACUUGAUUAGGAUCAACACUAAGCUUUAAUCCUUCUUCUAAUGGUGUAGCUAAUGGCUGACAAGCUGACAUGCCAGUUUCGUGCAACAAAUCAAUAAUAUACUUCCUUUGAGACAAGAAAAUUCCAGAACUGCUUCUCGACACCUCAAUCCCUAAAAAAUAUUUUAGGGAUCCAAGGUCCUUCAUUUCAAAUUCUGCAGACAGGUAUCUUUGCAAGGCCGCACGUUCUUCAGGAUCAUUACCUGUUACCACCAUAUCGUCUACAUACACAAUAAGUGCAGUAAGCUUCCCAUUCUGUCUUUUCAGGAACAAAGUAUGAUCAGAGUUACUUUGUCUGUAACCAAAUGCUCUCAUAGAUUUUGUGAAUCUUCCGAACCAUGCUCGAGGGGACUGCUUCAAGCCAUACAAGGAUUUCUUCAACCUGCACACUUUUCUUUUGUAUUUAUCUGGAGCAUUACAUCCCGGUGGAAGAUCCAUAUAAAUCUCUUCUGUCAAGUCUCCAUGCAAGAAGGCGUUCUUCACAUCGAACUGUUGUAAGGGCCAAUUAAGAUUUGCAGCCAAGGACAACAAAACACGAACUAUGUUGAUCUUGGCUACAGGUGCAAAUGUAUAUGUGUAGUAGAUUCCAUAUUUUUGAGUGUAUCAUUUGCUACCAGUCUUGCCUUGAAACGAUCCACCGUCCCAUCUGCUUUGUAUUUCACAGUAUAGACCCAUUUGCAUCCCACAGGUUUCUUGCCAGCUGGCAAAUCUGUGAUCUCCCAGGUAGCAUUCUUCUUCAAAGACUUCAACUCUUCAUUCAUUGCUACUUGCCAACGUGGAUCAGUUAAAGCCUCCUGCACACUGUUAGGAAUAGAUACAGUAGAUAAUUGAUGUACAAACGACUUAUUUGAUUCUGACAGGUGACUGGUAGACACAUAAUUACUUAACGGGUAUAACACAUUAGACUCAAGGUUGGGCUUACUCACCGGAUACCUAGUUUUGCAUUUAGGGUCGGCUUCAUAAGUAAGUUUAGGAAUACCUCGGUUGACGCGAUCAGGGAGAUGAUGUGGUGGUGGUGCAUCCGGGAUCGAAGACGAUUGAUUAUGGUUAUUGGGACUCAAGAUCGACUGUGAGGUAGCUGGCGACACAGGGCUGUCUGGUGAUGAGGAAACUGGCAGUGAGCUAUCAGGCAGUGAGUUAUCUGGCGAUGUCGACUCGUCCCUUUCAAGGUUUUCAACAUUGUUUCCAUGUGAAUGAUCACCACUUGUCUCCAAGACAUUACCACUUAAUUCCAAUUCAUUCACAUCAUUAUUUUCGUGUGAGUGAUCACCACUUAUUUCCAAGACAUCACCAUUUAAUUCCAAAUCAUUCACUCUAUCUAUAUCUGGAAUAGUAUAAUCAAGAGUUUGAACUUCUUUCUGAUUCUCCCCCUGAAGUGAAGACUCGGGAUUGGCAAAGUACAUAUCAUUAUCAUGAAACGCAACAUCCAUAGUGACAAACAACUUAUUCGUCGGUGGGUGAUAACAACGGUAUCCUUUCUGCCUUGAUGCAUACCCCACAAACACACAUCGUAAGGCUCGAGGUUCAAGCUUACAUCGAUGUUGUUUAUGAAGAUGAACGAAGGCCAAACAACCAAACACAUGAGGUGGAAAAUUAGGGACUGCAUGAGCAUCAACAUGUGAAGAAAUUGCCUGAAAAGGUGUAUGAAAAUCAACCGAUCGGGAUGGAACACGAUUAAUGAGAUACGCAGCUGAGGUGAGAGCUUCUCCCCAAUAGCAUAACGGGAGACGAGCCUCGAGUAAAAAAGCACGAACAACCUCCAGAAGCUGACGGUUCUUUCAUUCGGCAACCCCAUUUUGUUGUGGAGUAUAUGGACAUGUAGUUUGAUGAACAAUCCCAUGAUGAUCAAGAAAGGCACGAAGUUCAGAGUUAACAUAUUCGCCACCAUUAUCACUCCUGAGAACCUGUAUUUGUGACUUAUAUUGUACUUGUACCAUUUUGUAAAACUGUUGAAACAAAGAAGUAACUUCACCUUUGGAUUUCAUCAAACAAACCCAAGUCAUACGUGUGCAGUCAUCAAUAAAAAUAACAAACCAAUGAGCACCACCAAAUGUAGCAGUUUUAGAUGGACCCCAAACAUCAGAAUGAAUUAUCAUAAAUGGAACAUAACUUUUAUUCAAACUGGAUGGAAACGAGGCACGAUGACUUUUAGCUAGUUCACAAACACCACAUUUAAAGCUAGAAACAUCAUGCUUAACAAAUAGGCUAGGAAACAACCUCCGUAGAUAACCGAAAGAAGCAUGUCCAAGUCGACGAUGCCACAACCAAACCUCCGAAGCUUUAUUCCGAUCCCCUGAAUUUCCGUCCACUGCAAGAGCUUGAGUCAACAUUCGAGAACUGUUUGAUGUCAGCUCCAAGUAGUAGAGCUUCCCUUUCCUAAUACCAUAACCAAUCGUCUUGCGAGUCCGAAUGUCCUUAAAAACACAAAAAGAAGGCCAAAAAAUCAAAAGACAAUGCAGGACGACAGUUAUUUGAGCAACAGAUAAUAAAUUAUAGUCAAGAGAAGGCACAACAAGUACGGUAUCAAGACUAAGGGUAUCUGAAAGGGAGACGGUUCCUUCCCCGAUAACAGGGGCAUGAUUACCAUUGGCGACACUGACGACAGUUUUGGUGGAUGGUUUUAGGCUACAUGUCUAAAAUCACAAGUCAUAUGUUCAGUAGCACCGGAAUCAAUUAUCCAUGUAUUAUUCGUAACAGAUGCAGAAACCUUUAAAGUUUUACCAUCGUUGUUUGUAUGUUCAGAAGCUACCUUAGCUUUGGCAAUCAAUGCACACGACUCAUUACAGGGGGGAUGACGAGUCCAAUGUGUCAUUGCUCUACGUGAGUUGAGUGCAACGUCUGAGGUGAUUGAUAGGGCCAAGAUUCCAAACCAACUAGGUCAACAAUGUGAGAUCCCUGGAACAAAAACAAACAGUAACACAAAAAAGGACAACCUUUUUUCCUUUUUCUUUUUUUUUUUUUUUUUUUUUUUUUUUUUUCUUUUUUUUCCUUUUUUUUUUCUUUUUUUUUUUUUUUUUCUUUUUUUCCUUUUUUUUUGAAUUCCUUCAGAACACGCAAAGCAAAAUAAAUGCACGUGGGGAGUUCCUUCAAAACACACAAAUCAAAAAAUAAAUGCAGGGAUCAUAUCAAAUCAGUUUAGCAGAACACAGGUUGGGCUGCAGAUGGUAUGAUGAGUCAAAUGCGUAGACGCCAGGAAGAGACAGAUCGGUUUCUGGUGCAGAAGAAAUCGUGGUUGUCAACCGGGAUUUGCAACGACAAGGUUUCUAGAUUAGGAUCUCGGUUUGUGGGAGUGCGAUGCAGCAACAGAUGGUAGUGGGUGACUGCAGGGAUCGGCUCAGUGAACUCGGAUCAGCAACGACGGCGUCGCUCGCUGGUGUGACAGUGCACUGCACAACUGGUUGCGCAACUAGUGAACUCGGAUCAGCAACGACGGCGUCGCUCGCUGGUGUGACAGUGCGCUGCACAACAAGCUGUGCAACUGGUGGUUCUUAUUUCUGCGCACAACGAGACUUUUUUCUUUUUUUCUAACCUAGGCUCUGGUGCCAAGAAGAGAAUGCUUUGAAUAAUGAUAUAUUCUUCUCAAUAAGAGGAACUUAUAGGUGUACAACCCUAACAUAAAAGGAAAGAAAACUAAUUACAAGUGAUUACAUGGGAUUACAUAUCAAUUAGGAUCCUACCUAAAAUACAAAAGUCAACAUAUUCUCUCUCUACAUCUCUCUCUCUCUCUCUCUCUCUCUCUCUCUCUCUCUCUCUCUCUCUCUCUAGGGUUCCGUGAUCUGUAUAUGCGUCUCGAUGGCUAUGGAAAUUGUGGUGGAUGCGGCGUCGUUUGACGCCGAGCUGUUGCAGCUCAAUGAUUUGUCUCCUUUGGCCCUCAAAUCGAAUCCGAGCUACGUCGAGUCGCUGUUCGAGCAGUGGCUUUCGCUUCCCGAUACUAAUCGCCUGGUACUUGAAAACCCAAUUUUUUUGUCUUCAAAAUUUGAAAUUUUUGGUGUUUUCGCAUUGUUUUGGUUGUGCAUCUUGUUGGGUUUCGAAGGAUUUAUGGGUGCAGUUUUUGGUUUUUGAAUUUUGGUGAGCUUGGUUUUUUGCUGUUGAAUUAAAAAUUUCUGUGUUUUUUCAUGUGUGUAUGUUUUGAGAUACACAUAAUUUGCAUGGAUUUGUAUAUGUGUUUGUUCUAGCCUGUGAAACCAGCAUGAGAGCUAAGAAAUAAUGAUGCUGAGUUGAUUUUAGUAUAUAUUGAUUUUCGUGCCCAUGGUAUUGAAUUUGUUCGGAAACGAUGACUUUGCGAUUAAUGAAGCAUUAAAGGGCACAUUUCAGUAUGGAAAAAGGGAUGAAAAUUGUAAAUUGUUAGCAAUGUUCGAAAUUACCUAAUGCCUUAAAGUAGUUACAAAUUUGUAAUUAGUUGUUGGAAAUGCUAAAGUUUAUAUUUUUUUUAAUUAGGAUACUGGAUACCUAUGAUUUACAUACUACAUAAUCUUUCAUCUUUUCUGAUGCAUGACAGUUUUUUCAUUUUCCCGACUCUAUGGUUGCAGGUGACACAAACUGCUAACUGAAGCAAAGGCAGGUAGGCCUCUGAAUGUUCAGGGAAAUUCUUCUAGUCCACAUGCCACUGCAGGCAGUACUUUGCCUUCUAUGUUUCCAACCAAAGUGGGACAAAGGGAAGGCCCCACAGUCCCGGAAAGAGACUCCACCUCUUCCAUCCUCUCGGGUGCGUUCAUCAGCCAGAUCUGAUGACAGGGCAGCUUUCAAGGAUGAUGCAUUGAAUGAGUUACGAGCAAAACGUUUGAAGCUGCAUGACCCUGAGGCUCACCGCAAGUUGAGAUAUGCUUCUCGUAGUGAAGAUGAUGGAUCAUCAGGGGAUGAUGCAAUGAUUGACAGUGAUGAUGAAAGGUCACAGGGACUAACUUUUGAUGUUAUAAAGGAGAUUACCAUUCGAAGGUCGAAACUUGCAAGUGGUUUAUGGAGCCCUUCUUGGAAGAGUUAAUUGUGGUUUGCGUUGUAAGGGUUGGAAUUGGGAGGUCAAAGUCUGGGACUAUCAAUGGUGGGAGCAGUACGGGCAGGCAUAGCAGCAACUGCAGCAGCUUUGGAAGCUGCGGCUGGUGUAGGGAAGUUGAUUGAUACGAGUGCCCCUGUUGAUUUUGGAAGAGAGUCAAAUCUAAAGCAUAAUUUUGAGCUGCCAAUAUCAUUGGCUGCUCUUCAGAAGUUUGGAAAGCCACAGGGUUCUUGGCAAGAAAGCAGCGAAUAGAAGCAAUAGUUGAGUGCCAAGUCCCAGAGAAUAAUGGGAGGAGGCAUGCGCUGAUGCUUACAGUUGGCGACUACAUGAGAAGAAGAGGGAUUCUCUGAACAUAUUAAAAACCACCACAGAAACAAGAAAGUUCAAAAAGAGAGAACAUAUUAAAAACAGAUCAAGGCAUGCAAAAAAAUACAGACUCUAUCUGCAAACUAGCUGAUUAAGCCAGAAAGUUUCCUAGCUUACAACUAUGUUUGGUUGACACAGUUUUGUUGGUAUGAACUCCAAUGGGAAUCCAUGCCAGCACAACCAUCUUAAUUUUUUGGAAAGACAUUGGUAUCACCCAGUGAGUCGUACGUAGUUUAGUUGGAGCAAUCUCAGUCUCUUCAUAUUUUUAAACGCCUUGGUACUGAAACUAGUGUUUUCAAGACUCGGCAAAUUCAAAGCCAGACCUUCAAUUUUUUCAGUUCCCUGCUAUCCGAAAAAAACAGACUCCAAAUAAGAGAAGGCUUUGCAUGAAAAAAAGUUAGAUUACUAACUUACAUAUGCUUACACGUUUAACAUAAAGUUGAUUGGGAAAGUACUUACAAAUUUGUCUAUCAAUACAUCAUUUACAUCUUCAGGACGCCACAAUCUACUCCGUUCUCUAGGGAAAUCGGGAUUUUCUGCAUGCACGAUAUCUCUGCCCAUAUACCGAAGCAAAUCAUGCAUCAUAAUCUUGUUUUCUCUAUUAAUAGUUACAAGGCACCGGUCAAGGAGGACCUUGAUUCCUGUUGUUGCAUAAAAGCCACAACCAUCCAAGAUUUGUAUGACAUCGUUCUUGUCCAUUCCGAUAAAAAAACAAGCUAUAUCGAGGAAUAUUCGCCUCUUGUAAUUAUCAUUUAGCUCGUUGUAGCUUAUUUUCAGUUGUGCCUGAAUUUCUCCACGAGGAAUUAUUUUCAAUUCAUCCAAUAUACUUCUCCAUUCAUCUACGCUUCGUUUGAAAAGAGUAGAUCCUAAAACUUCAAGAGCCAGCGACAAUCCUCCACAGUAAUUAACAACUUCUCUUUCGAGUGCAAGAUAUUGACUAGGACAACUACUACUUCUGAAAGCAUGCCAACUUAGGAGCUCAAGAGCUUCUUCUCGGUCCAUUACUUUCGCCCGAUAUAUCUUUUGAAUUGCAAAUUCUUUUAGCACACUUUCAUUUUUAGUUGUGAUGAUGAUUCUGCUCCCCGGGCCAAAAAGUGGCAAUUUCCAACUAAUUCACGUAAUUGCUUCACAUCGUCUACAUCAUCAACUAUGACAAGUACCUUUAAGCGUCGAAAUCUUUCCCUUACCAAGGCGGUCCCUGCAGCAACACUGCUUACCUUUGUCUUGGUUUGCAAGAUAUCAAAAAGAAGUUGUUUUUGCAAUUUUUCUAGCUUCUUUUCCCUCACUUUUUCAAGGAAACUUUUACCUUCAAAUCUUUCAUAAAAUUCGUUAUAAAUGGCUUUAGCAAUCGUUGUUUUACCUAUUCCACCCAUGCCCGAAAUUCCAAUCACACGAACAUCAUCUGAAUCUCCGAUGCCUAAAUAAUUACUAAUAUCUAGCACUCGAGUAUCUAUUCCGACUUGAUAGGGCGCUACGUCGAAGUAUUUGUUGUUCAACUUAGUAGUGACGUCAUUGGUAAUCAUCCUGAUAAACUUUGCUUCAUGCCUGGCAUUAGUCAAGUUGAGAAGCAAAACGAAGAUUGUUAUACAACGAAAUUGAACUAAUUAAUACACAAAAUUAUUUAUCAUGACUAGAGAUUUUAAUUAAGACAAUUUUUUUGAGGUGGUGUGUUUAAACUUAGCAAACAUCAAUUAAAAUUAAAAUAAGAAACACAAACAAAAAACCCAGCAUCCCUUCCGUCCGCAGCCAGUCGCCGGCAGCUUCCCAACUGUGAUUAGUGUAGCCUUAACAGUUUAAGCUUUAUUGUAUGAUUUUAUUACAGAGGUCUAAGAAAUCGCAUGAUUCCAAAUUAAUAAGCAAAGGUACAUUAAAGCCUUAAUUCAUAAGAAAAUAAAUUAGUAAGUACCCGUCGAAAGUGUUUCUGAGAUCCCAGCCAGGCAAAUUCGAAGCUUCAGUAAGAGCAGCUCUCCACCUCUCUACCUUUUUUCAUCUGUAUGUUUCAGAAACGAUUGUGCAAAACUACUAGUCUGUUUCCUGACAUGCGAAGGAUCAACGUCAUAGAAUAUCGGCAAAACUAAUUGCCCUAGCAUUCUUCUACACUCCAUGAUCUUUACCAGCUCCUCGAGACACCAGCUGGAGUCCGAGUACCGUCUUGAGAAGACGAUGAUAGAGAUCCUAGAACCCUGGAUUGCCUGCACAAGUUCGGUAGUUAUAUCUUCUCCUCUUCUUAGUUCGUCGUCAAUAAAGGCGUUGAUUCCGGCCUUUGUCAAUGCUUCGUGGAGGUGGCCCGUGAAGUUUUUACGUGUGUCUUCACCUCUGAAGCUUAUGAACACUUCGUAGAGCGAACCUUUUGAGAAGGAGGACAAGGACGGGGAGGCGGAGGAGGACGAUGAGGAUGAGAUUGAGGGUGAGGAGGUGGAGGAGGACGAUAAGGAUGAGGGCGAGGACGAGGUUUUAUCGGGGACGGAGAUAUUCAUUUGGCGAAAGACGAGGCCGAGGGAGCAGAGGAGGAAGAUGAGGACAUCAAAAACAAGACCGGAAUUGCGAUGUGCAUAGUGGUAGGACAGUAACACCAGCACCAUAAUUAACAGCUUCCCUAAGCUCAACCAGUUAUCCAUUGCCUUCAAUUUCUUUAGGCAAAUUGAAGGUUUUUUGGCGAUAUUGAUUUUCAUUUUUUCUACCGGAACUACUUUCUUCUUCUUAUAAUUAAUCAACCCGCCUAGGCGGCGCAGUUGACUGUAGACUUGAGUAUUGGUAAAUUGACUUAUGGUCCUACACCCUAAAUUCUACGAGGUGCUCUUUUUCUUCCACUAUAAAGCCAAAUUAGACACGGUAAAUUGACUUGUGGUCCUACACCCUAAAUUCCAGGAGGCACCCUUUUUUUCCACCUUAUCGCCAAAUUCUACGCAGUGUUUUCUGGUUCACACAAUGAUGAGAUACUUUUCAGUUUAUAGGAACACAGUCCAGUACACUGUACACCACUUAUAAAACAACUUCAAGAGGGCUAGUUUGAAAAUAUCCUACCGCGAAAUUUGAUUUGGUUUGGACCAAAUUUUGAUUUAGAUGAAAACUAGUAACAGUGCCUGCGCGUUGCUGCGGAUGUUUAAAAUGUUUUGAUAAUAUAUAAAUAUAGAAAACAUAAUUUAUUAAAGCUAGAUUUCUAUACCUAAGAUAAAGGUUGACAGUUUUCAUAAUUAUCAAAAGUUGGCAGUGUCCAAUUGCUCACUGUUCAAAAGAUAGAGAUGCUAUAAAAGCUUAUUUCAUCUACAUAAGUUCAUAGUAUCAUGUACUCAAAAUAAUCAUAGUAUCAAAAGAUUGGCAGUUUUCAACUGCUCAUCGUUCAAAUACGAAAAUAUACAUAUGUCCAUAUCAAAAGGUUGGCUCCGCACAUCUGCUGUGUUUAUGAUUUUUCCUGUUCAAUCUCUGGUCUUGCUUGUUUGGGAAUGGCCACCCUUUUUCUUGGCCACCAUGCUGUUGAAUUGGUGCCUAUUCUUUUUUGCUUUGCCCAUUAUUUUUCUCUUGAUAUAUAUUACGAAUUGGAAUCAGUAAGAAUUCCAUAUAAAAAACUAAAUUUGUCAAUCUAUUUAACUUAGUGCGAACUUCGUCAAACAACCAAGUAUAAUCCAGCAAGGUUAUUUUCUCUUUUUUUUUUUUUGAUCAAAAUGAAUUCUACUGUUCCCAUCUAUUUGCACAUCCCUUUAAAUUAUCGAAAACACAAAAGAAAUAUAUCUUGAUCCAUACCAAUUAAUGAUUUCCCAUUUACUCAAGUCAAACGUCAAAGCCAAUGAAUUGAUGAAGGAGCUAAAAAAGAGGGACAAAAAAAAAUCUCUAUUAUUCAAUUAUAUGGAGAUUUACCUGAUUGUACAAAAGGUUUGAAAAUUACCGUAAAAUUUGAAAAGAGAGAUGAGAUGGAGUGGAAAUCACAUACCAGCAUCAGGCUUAAAUUUGUAGUGCUCAUCUGAGAGAGCAGUGAUAGUGUUGAUGAGAGUGUAGGGAGAGAAACAAAAUGCAAAUCGUACGAGUUUGAGAGAAACUGCUUGAGGGACACUGCAGAUUGAUCGUUGAGAUUUGAGAAACCGAGGAAGCUGCAAUUUGAGACGAACUACUUUGCAUCAAACGUGGGGGAGUUUCUCUCCUCCACGUUUGAAUAGAAGAGGUAGUUUCAGAGUUGUCUGCAAUUAGUCCUAUCAGGAGCUUCUGCACUGGUUGAUGUCUCGGUCUUUUCCUUAGUCGCAUGUGCAUUGUAGACUUGGGUAGAUGAAAAGUAGAAAGGAAAUAAAAAUAUAAAGUCAAAGUUACCACUUAACUAUCUAUGUUGAUUCAUGUCCCACGCAUAAUAAGAAUAGUGAAUCAUUUUUCAUCUCGUGCACUGGUUUGUCAUUGUCAUUCGAAUUCACAAAUCCAUUUACUCCGAAUUUCUUAGUUAUCACCAGGGAAAGAAUGUAAUAAGCAAAAAUCUAUUUCUAGGUUGUCCCACUAAACUACCUGUUAAACCAUGGUAAAUCAAAACGGGAAAAAAAUUAUAAUACCUUUGUCAAACCUCUUGGGAUUCAAGUCCACCGACUCCACCCCAAUACUCAGUGGCGCCCCAGAAAUCUUGCACGUUCAGUAGCCAAGAUCAUGCAUGUAUCAGUAUGAAUAUGGAAGAGAAAAUAAAUGCAAUUUAUUAGAAUAAAGAAUAUGGGAUCAACAAAGUUUGUCCAAACUUACAGUGAGGCUAAUAAACAACAACUAAAGAUAAUUUUUCGUUUUGCUACAUGAGAGGGGCAUCCAAAAAUCCAAACCUGUCGAUACGGCACAACUGAGGAUGCAAACUUUAUCCAACUAAGCAAGGGGCUUGAUCUUGGAAAGACGGCCAGAAUGAACAACAAUGUAUUCACUUUAGUAAAAGUGCCAAGACAGUGAUUGGUGAACGUUAUUUCCCAGCUGGGUUAGUUUGGCUAUUCCUUUCUAUUGAAAAGGAGUCAGUUGUGCAUGAGUCACCACAUUUUGCUUCAUGGCGAAAAAUUUGAGGGAUCAAUAGUGUAUGGCCCUGAAUCCCAAAAGGAAAAAAUAACUCAACUAAGUAUAUAUAAUAUUAAACAUAUAAAGGGUAAGAUCAACCACAUCCCAUAGGAGAACAAUUAAACGCCACUCUCUCAGUUUCGAGUACAACUGCACUUUGUGAUUAAAAUUCACACAUGUUUCACAUAUGCUAAGAAGUAAUGUUCCUGUAGGUUUUUCAUCAUGAACGACAUUUGCAAUCUACUUUUCGAUUUCAAACCUUAAUUAUUCAUUGCCCAUUAAGAAAUGACUAUAUUGCCCGGAAACUCUACUCAUAGUUUAUAAAUCUGCAAUUUUCAAAGCUUAACCUUAAACAUUUAUCAUGCUGAAAAAAAUACUUAAGCAUCUUAAUUGGAUUCCCUACAAUUUGGUGGAGGUUGAAUGGAUUUUU